rnacentral:rRNA from 1 species
CCUACGGGUGGCAGCAGUGAGGAAUAGUGGUCAAUGGGCGCGAGCCGGAACCAGCCAAGUAGCGUGAAGGAUGAAGGCCCUAUGGGUUGUAAACUUCUUUUAUAUGGGAAUAAAGUGCAGUAUGUAUACUGCUUUGCAUGUACCUUAUGAAUAAGGAGCGGCUAACUCCGUGCCAGCAGCCGCGGUAAUACGGAGGAUCCGAGCGUUAUCCGGAUUUAUUGGGUUUCAAGGGAGCGUAGGCGGGUUGUUAAGUCAGUUGUGAAAGUUUGCGGCUCAACCGUAAAAUUGCAGUUGAUACUGGCAUCAUUGAGUACAGUAGAGGUAUGCGGAAUUCGUGGUGUAGCGGUGAAAUGCUUAGAUAUCACGAAGAACUCCGAUUGCGAAGGCAGCCUGCUGGACUGUACCUGCCGCUGCUGCUC